rfam:Corchorus olitorius cultivar O-4 contig22520, whole genome shotgun sequence.
UUGAGGAUGAUGAAAUCAAUCAGACGGAUUCCCAUUGAUUUUUCAUAUGAGAACAUAACCAGCUACUUCUGACUCUU